rnacentral:lncRNA from 1 species
UUGAGGCGCCAGGAGAGACUUUUGUGCAACGAAAAAUUCAUUUGCAAAUUGCCCGACAAAGGUAAAAAGAUCUCAGACACCAUUGCCAAACUGAAAGCUGCCAUUUCAGAACGUGAAGAGGUCAGAGGGAGAACUGAACUACUUCAUCCUGUUAGUGUAGACUGUAAGCUAAGGCAUAAAGCAACCACAAGAGUUGAUACCGACAUAGACAAGGCCCAGAAUUCUGACCUGAUGCUUGAUACUUCAUCAUUAGUUCCUAAAUGUUCCUCAGUAGACAUUGAAUCAUCUAAAACAACCUCAGAAACACAGGGACCUACA